rnacentral:rRNA from 1 species
UUCCUACGGGAGGCAGCAGUGGGGAAUAUUGCGCAAUGGGCGAAAGCCUGACGCAGCGACGCCGCGUGAGGGAUGAAGGUCUUCGGAUCGUAAACCUCUGUCAGCAGGGAAGAACGGUCACUGUGCUAAUCAGCAGUGAAUUGACGGUACCUGCAAAGGAAGCACCGGCUAACUCCGUGCCAGCAGCCGCGGUAAUACGUAGGGGGCAAGCGUUAUCCGGCUUUACUGGGUGUAAAGGGAGCGUAGACGGUGAUGCAAGUCAGAAGUGAAAGCCCGCGGCUCAACUGCGGGACUGCUUUUGAAAU